CUGCGCUAUAUUGCAGUACCGCGCAAAAUUCCAUUACCUGCUCACACGAAGCGAAGGAGUGAUGAUCAAUUGAAGUCGUUUAUUCAUCGAAUUAUUAAUGUUUCCUACAAGGGCGGCAGAGGGCUCUUCAAAAGCUGUGGGGUCCAUCUGUCUCUUAACAGCAUGCCAAAGGAUGGUUUUGGUUUUUGCUCAAUGCCAGAGGAUGGUGAUGAUGAUGAAAAUGAAGAGGAAUUAGAUGCUGAUGAUGGUGAUGAAGUUCGACCCGGAAAGAGAAAAAAGAUUACCUCCCUCUGCAUUUCAAUGCACACGGGCUUGGACCGACCUGCAGGAAGGACCUUCAAGGGAUCCAGCUAGCUCGGACCAGGAGCAGUAGGCGUGCACAGUAAUCCACCACAGGGCCAUUCCCACUUCCCACGCUUCCCCAUUCUGAUAUAGGGCUCUUCUGUAAAUGAGUUGACUCUUUGUGAAAUUUCUCAGUGGUUGCUCUGAUAACCUGCCCAAGAACUCAGAUU